UAGGGAAUAUUGGACAAUGGGUGAGAGCCUGAUCCAGCCAUGCCGCGUGCAGGAUGACGGCCUUCUGGGUUGUAAACUGCUUUUAUCUGGGGAUAAAAAGGCCUUGCGAGGCAAACUGAAGGUACCAGAUGAAUAAGCCACGGCUAACUACGUGCCAGCAGCCGCGGUAAUACGUAGGUGGCAAGCGUUGUCCGGAUUUAUUGGGUUUAAAGGGUGCGUAGGCGGUUUAUUAAGUCAGUGGUGAAAGACGAUAGCUUAACUAUCGAGGUGCCAUUGAUACUGAUGAACUUGAGUGCAGUCGAAGUAGGCGGAAUGGACGGUGUAGCGGUGAAAUGCAUAGAUAUCGUCCAGAACACCGAUAGUGAAGACAGCUUACUAGGCUGUAACUGACGCUGAGGCACGAAAGUGUGGGGAUCAAACAGGAUUAGAUACCCUGGUAGUCCACACUGUAAACGUUGAUAACUCGCUGUUG
rnacentral:rRNA from 1 species